rnacentral:rRNA from 1 species
AUGCACGCUGGCGGCGUGCCUAAUCCAUGCAAGUCGCGCGAACAGACGAGGAGCUUGCUCCUCUGACGUUAGCGGCGGACGGGUGAGUAACACGUGGAUAACCUACCUAUAAGACUGGGAUAACUUCGGGAAACCGGAGCUAAUACCGGAUAAUAUAUUGAACCGCAUGGUUCAAUAGUGAAAGACGGUUUUGCUGUCACUUAUAGAUGGAUCCGCGCCGCAUUAGCUAGUUGGUAAGGUAACGGCUUACCAAGGCAACGAUGCGUAGCCGACCUGAGAGGGUGAUCGGCCACACUGGAACUGAGACACGGUCCAGACUCCUACGGGAGGCAGCAGUAGGGAAUCUUCCGCAAUGGGCGAAAGCCUGACGGAGCAACGCCGCGUGAGUGAUGAAGGUCUUCGGAUCGUAAAACUCUGUUAUUAGGGAAGAACAAAUGUGUAAGUAACUAUGCACGUCUUGACGGUACCUAAUCAGAAAGCCACGGCUAACUACGUG